GGUGUGCACUGUCGUGUCCGGCCUACGUCUGGUUUCAAUCUAUAGUGCUCUUAACCGGGUGCUAUAGAAUGCCAGAAAGUUUACUCUGAAAAAAUUAGAGUGCUUAAAGCAAGCCGUUGUGCUUGAAUACUGUUGCAUGGAAUAAUGGAAUAGACUCGGAUCUAUUUGUUGGUUUUCGGAGUCGAGUAAUGAUUAGAGGGACAGACGGGGGCAUUCGUAUGCGCCGUUAGAGGUGAAAUUCUUGGAUCGGCGCAAGACGAACAACUGCGAAAGCAUUUGCCAAGGAUGUUUUCAUUAAUCAAGAACGAAAGUCAGAGGUUCGAAGACGAUCAGAUACCGUCGUAGUUCUGACCAUAAACGAUGCCAACUGGCGAUCCGCCGUAGUCUGGCUUAAAGGACUCGGCGGGCAGCCUCCGGGAAACCUAAGUCUAUGGGUUCCGGGGGAAGUAUGGUUGCAAAGCUGAAACUUAAAGGAAUUGACGGAAGGGCACCACCAGGAGUGGAGCCUGCGGCUUAAUUUGACUCAACACGGGAAAACUCACCCGGCCAGGACACCGUAAGGAUUGACAGACUGAGAGCUCUUUCUUGAUUCGGUGGGUGGUGGUGCAUGGCCGUUCUUAGUUGGUGGAGCGAUUUGUCUGGUUAAUUCCGAUAACGAACGAGACUCUAGCCUGCUAAAUAGACGGGCGAUCCCAUUGUGGGUCGACCCGAUCAGCUUCUUAGAGGGACAAGUGG
rnacentral:rRNA from 1 species